rnacentral:rRNA from 1 species
GACGAACGCUGGCGGCGUGCUUAACACAUGCAAGUCGAACGGAAAGGCCCUGCUUUUGUGGGGUGCUCGAGUGGCGAACGGGUGAGUAACCCGUGAGUAACCUGCCCUUGACUUUGGGAUAACUUCAGGAAACUGGGGCUAAUCCCGGAUAGGAGCUCCUGCUUCAUGGUGGGGGUUGGAAAGUUUCGGCGGUUGGGGAUGGACUCGCGGCUUAUCAGCUUGUUGGUGGGGUAGUGGCUUACCAAGGCUUUGACGGGUAGCCGGCCUGAGAGGGUGACCGGCCACAUUGGGACUGAAAUACGGCACAGCCUAAUACGGGAGGCAGCAGUGGGGAAUAUUGCACAAUGGGCGGAAGCCUGAUGCAGCAACGCCGCGUGCGGGAUGACGGCCUUCGGGUUGUAAACCGCUUUCGCCUGUGACGAAGCGUGAGUGACGGUAAUGGGUAAAGAAGCACCGGCUAACUACGUG